UAAGGAAUAUUGCUCAAUGGGAGAAAUCCUGAAGCAGCAACGCCGCGUGGAGGAUGAAGGGUCUAUGACUUGUAAACUCCUGUAAAGAAGGAAAAAAUUCCCAUUAGAUGGGAGAUGAUGGUACUUCUGGAGUAAGCCCCGGCUAACUACGUGCCAGCAGCCGCGGUAAUACGUAGGGGGCAAGCGUUGUCCGGAUUUACUGGGUGUAAAGGGUGCUCAGGCGGAUUUGUAAGUCAGAGGUGAAAUCUUACAGCUUAACUGUGAAACUGCCUUUGAUACUGCAAGCCUAGAGUAUGGAAGAGAGUGAUGGAAUAUCUGGUGUAGCAGUGAAAUGCGUAGAUAUCAGAUAGAACACCAAUGGCGAAGGCAGUCACUUGGUCCAGUACUGACGCUAAAGCACGAAAGCGUGGGUAGCAAACA
rnacentral:rRNA from 1 species